UGAUCCAAUUGCCUUAGCUCCGAAUGAUAGAAGAAUUGAGAGUAAUGUAUUAAGUUUAAAUGCGUUAGAGCCACCUCAAGACUUGGAGAAGUUACGCAUUAGUUAUUACCGGGGCACCACAAUGUCUCCUAUUUGGUUGGCAUCUUUAACCAAUUUGAAAGAGCUUUGUCUCUAUUACGCCACAGAGUUAAUGAGUUUGCCUUCUUUGGGGAUGAUUCCGUGCCUCGAAUCAUUAACUAUAUCGUUUGCGCAGAGAUUGAAAAAAGUUGGAGUUGAUUUUUUGGGAAUAGAAUCUGAAAACAAAAAAGAAGACAUGAAAAUAUUCCCAAAUUUGAAAUAUCUCGAAUUCUUUGGUUUGGGCGAGUGGGAAGAAUGGAUUGGAGGAACGAGAGAAGGAGGAAAAGAAGACGAAGACUGUAUUACUAUAAUGCCGCGUCUUCAAAAGUUGACAAUUCACUACUGCAGAAAGUUAAAGUCGUUGCCGGAUUUCCUGCGUACAACUCCAUUGAAGGAAUUGGAGAUUGGUGACUGUCCAAUUAUCAAGAAACGUUGUCGAAGAGAGGACUGGCGCAACAUUUCUCACAUCCCAAUCAUCAAAUUAACUGACACUCCAUUCCCUACGUUGCGGUAAACAAACAAUGAUCGUCCGUAAUUUUAUCAAAUUCUGGCAAAACUCACAACGACACUGUCAGCAAUGGUUUUCUGAAGGGCGUGUGAGCAAGUCUGAAUCAAUAAAGGUGUUUGAAGUACUUCGUUACAUGGAAGUGUGUGAAGUGCACAAAGUGACCAUCAAGGAUUCGGGCAAGGAGACAAAAUACCUUGGAUUAUGUACUCUUCUACUGUAAGGCAUAUCUCAAUAUUUCUGCUUAAUCAUCUUUCUGUUUUUACUUAUAAUCUUCUCCAUCUAUAAAAACCUCCUGCUGAAUAUCUAAUUCUCUUUUGGCCUUAUUUCAACCAAACAUCAGAUUUGGGGGAGUACAUUUUGUGAUGAAGCAAAGUGUCACUCUUGGAUGCACAUUUUAAUGUUUGUAAGUGGGUUUUCAACAUCUAAUGCAUAGUAGUGAAGCCCACUGUAGGAAUUGACAUUCUAAUGUUGGAAAUAGUCUGUACAACU